CUGACAAAAUGAAUUGAUGGGCUGUUUUAUUGCUGCAUCAUGGGUCUUGUUUCUUGCUAGUUUAGUUUCAGAUGAACUUGUCCGUCUUGCCUAUUGCUAGAUCUUCCUUUCUUAUGGAAGAAGCUAUCAUUGCACAAUUUUUUCAGAGCUGGUUCACACUUGUAGGUUUGACUCACUAAUCUCACUUUUUCAGCCUGUUCGUGAUCAUUUCAACAACAACAACGAAGCCAAAGUUCUUCUUAACACUGUCAAGGUACAUCGUCUCGAACACAGUCACAUGGUAGACAUAUGCUAUGGUUAUCUGCAUAAAAUCGUUUAGCAGACAAUGUAACAAUGUGAACCAGGAGGCAUACUAUGCAAAUUCCAUCAGAGAGGGAGAUAAACUCAUUCAACUUGCAUUUUUUUCUGUAGUAGCUCUCCAUAGGACUCAUCUGUUGAUUCUUAUUGUCAACAUUGCCCGUCUAAUGAAAUUAAUUGGAACAUUUGCUUCUGCAGAAGUACAGAGUAACCAAUUGAGGAGUGGAAGCUGUCCAUCUUUAGGGCAUGUUUACAUUAGGGUGGAUAUCGCCGUUUGAAAUUCUUGUAUGCUAUUCUGUUACUAGUUGCAUAGGUAGCUCAAAAGUUUCAUGUUUCUAGAUAUAUAAAAAGAAUACUUUACUUGUUGACUACUUGAUGUGCAUCAUAGGGCUCAACCUAAACAGUGUUGCACUGUAAGUAUUCGAUAAAAGAUAAACAAAGCCAAUAUCCAGGAGAGACAUGAGAUGGCAUGUAGAUUUAAAAAUGUCUUUUGGCCAUGUCCAAUGGAG
rnacentral:lncRNA from 7 species